rnacentral:rRNA from 1 species
GAGGCACUACGGUGCUGAAGCAACAAAUGCCCUGCUUCCAGGAAAAGCCUCUAAGCAUCAGGUAACAUCAAAUCGUACCCCAAACCGACACAGGUGGUCAGGUAGAGAAUACCAAGGCGCUUGAGAGAACUCGGGUGAAGGAACUAGGCAAAAUGGUGCCGUAACUUCGGGAGAAGGCACGCUGACACGUAGGUGAAGUGAUUUACUCAUGGAGCUGAAGUCAGUCGAAGAUACCAGCUGGCUGCAACUGUUUAUUAAAAACACAGCACUGUGCAAACACGAAAGUGGACGUAUACGGUGUGACGCCUGCCCGGUGCCGGAAGGUUAAUUGAUGGGGUCAGCGCAAGCGAAGCUCCUGAUCGAAGCCCCGGUAAACGGCGGCCGUAACUAUAACGGUCCUAAGGUAGCGAAAUUCCUUGUCGGGUAAGUUCCGACCUGCACGAAUGGCGUAAUGAUGGCCAGGCUGUCUCCACCCGAGACUCAGUGAAAUUGAACUCGCUGUGAAGAUGCAGUGUACCCGCGGCAAGACGGAAAGACCCCGUGAACCUUUACUAUAGCUUGACACUGAACAUUGAGCCUUGAUGUGUAGGAUAGGUGGGAGGCUUUGAAGUGUGGACGCCAGUCUGCAUGGAGCCGACCUUGAAAUACCACCCUUUAAUGUUUGAUGUUCUAACGUGGACCCGUAAUCCGGGUUGCGGACAGUGUCUGGUGGGUAGUUUGACUGGGGCGGUCUCCUCCUAAAGAGUAACGGAGGAGCACGAAGGUUGGCUAAUCCUGGUCGGACAUCAGGAGGUUAGUGCAAUGGCAUAAGCCAGCUUGACUGCGAGCGUGACGGCGCGAGCAGGUGCGAAAGCAGGUCAUAGUGAUCCGGUGGUUCUGAAUGGAAGGGCCAUCGCUCAACGGAUAAAAGGUACUCCGGGGAUAACAGGCUGAUACCGCCCAAGAGUUCAUAUCGACGGCGGUGUUUGGCACCUCGAUGUCGGCUCAUCACAUCCUGGGGCUGAAGUAGGUCCCAAGGGUAUGGCUGUUCGCCAUUUAAAGUGGUACGCGAGCUGGGUUUAGAACGUCGUGAGACAGUUCGGUCCCUAUCUGCCGUGGGCGCUGGAGAACUGAGGGGGGCUGCUCCUAGUACGAGAGGACCGGAGUGGACGCAUCACUGGUGUUCGGGUUGUCAUGCCAAUGGCACUGCCCGGUAGCUAAAUGCGGAAGAGAUAAGUGCUGAAAGCAUCUAAGCACGAAACUUGCCCCGAGAUGAGUUCUCCCUGAGACUUAGAGUCUCCUGAAGGAACGUUGAAGACGACGACGUUGAUAGGCCGGGUGUGUAAGCGCAGCGAUGCGUUGAGCUAACCGGUACUAAUGAACCGUGAGGCUUAACCUU